rnacentral:rRNA from 1 species
GACGAACGCUGGCGGCGUGCUUAACACAUGCAAGUCACGGGGGCUCGCAAGAGCAACCGGCGAACGGGUGCGUAACACGUGAGCAACCUGCCGAUCUGAGGGGGAUAGCCGGCCCAACGGCCGGGUAAUACCGCAUACGUUCUCGAGAGGGAGUCCUCUUGGGAAGAAACCUCCGGGGCAGAUCGAGGGGCUCGCGGCCUAUCAGCUAGUUGGUGAGGUAACGGCUCACCAAGGCAUCGACGGGUAGCUGGUCUGAGAGGAUGGCCAGCCACAUUGGGACUGAGAGACGGCCCAGACUCCUACGGGAGGCAGCAGUGGGGAAUCUUGCGCAAUGGCCGAAAGGCUGACGCAGCGACGCCGCGUGUGGGAUGAAGCAUUUCGGUGUGUAACCAACUGUUGCCCGGGACGAACAUCCUCUUUCGAGAGGACUGACGGUACCGGGUGAGGAAGCACCGGCUAACUCCGUGCCAGCCGCC